rnacentral:misc_RNA from 1 species
GAUGAAGAACGUAGCGAAAUGCGAUAAGUAAUGUGAAUUGCAGAAUUCAGUGAAUCAUCGAAUCUUUGAACGCACCUUGCGCCCUUUGGCUAUUCUGAAGGGCAUGCCUGUUUGAGUAUCAUGAACACAUCAACUCUCAUGGUUUGCCAUGAUGAGCUUGGACUUUGGGGGUCUUGCUGGCCUACGGUCAGCUCCUCUCAAAUGAAUCAGCUUGCCAGUGUUUGGUAGAGUCGCAGGUGUGAUAACUAUCUACGCUUGUGGUUUUCUGCCAGAUAACCUUCAGUGAUGGAGGUUCGCUGGAGCUUAUAAAUGUCUCUCCCCAGUGAGGACAGCUUUUUGAACGUUUGAUCUCAAAUCAGGUAGGACUACCCGCUGAACUUAAGCAUAUCAAUAAGCGGAGGA